GACAGAGGGUGCAAACGUUGCUCGGAAUUACUGGGCGUAAAGCGCGUGUAGGCUGACCGGAAAGUCGGGCGUGAAAUCCCUGGGCUCAACCCAGGAACUGCACUCGAAACUCCCGGUCUUGAGUGGUGGAGAGGGAAGUGGAAUUCCUGGUGUAGAGGUGAAAUUCGUAGAUAUUCGGAAGAACACCAGUGGCGAAGGCGGCUCACUGGCCCGGUACUGACGCUGAGGUGCGAAAGCGUGGGGAGCAAACAGG
rnacentral:rRNA from 1 species